rnacentral:tRNA from 1 species
GGGUCAGUAGCUCAGUCCGGUAGAGCAGGAGCCUCUUAAGCUCUUGGCCGUGGGUUCAAAUCCCACCUGACCCACCA